GAUGAAGAACGCAGCGAAAUGCGAUAAGUAAUGUGAAUUGCAGAAUUCCGUGAAUCAUCGAAUCUUUGAACGCACAUUGCGCCCCCUGGUAUUCCGGGGGGCAUGCCUGUUCGAGCGUCAUUUCACCACUCAAGCCUCGCUUGGUAUUGGGCAACGCGGUCCGCCGCGUGCCUCAAAUCGACCGGCUGGGUCUUCUGUCCCCUAAGCGUUGUGGAAACUAUUCGCUAAAGGGUGCUCGGGAGGCUACGCCGUAAAACAAACCCAUUUCUAAGGUUGACCUCGGAUCAGGUAGGGAUACCCGCUGAACUUAAGCAUAUCAAUAAGCGGAGGA
rnacentral:misc_RNA from 1 species